UGGUACUCCUGUCCAGCCACAGUCAUAAGCAAUGGGGGCAGCUCGGAGAGAUCCUCGGAGGGGUGAGAUUCCCGUGA
rnacentral:ncRNA from 1 species